rnacentral:rRNA from 1 species
CGAAAGCCUGACGGAGCAACGCCGCGUGAGGGAUGGAGGCCUUUGGGCUGUAAACCUCUUUUCUCAAGGAAGAAGAUCUGACGGUACUUGAGGAAUAAGCCACGGCUAAUUCCGUGCCAGCAGCCGCGGUAAUACGGGAGUGGCAAGCGUUAUCCGGAAUUAUUGGGCGUAAAGCGUCCGCAGGCGGCCGUUUAAGUCUGUUGUUAAAUCGUGGAGCUCAACUCCAUCACGGCAAUGGAAACUGUUCGGCUUGAGUAUGGUAGGGGCAGAGGGAAUUUCCGGUGUAGCGGUGAAAUGCGUAGAUAUCGGGAAGAACACCAGUGGCGAAAGCGCUCUGCUGGGCCAUUACUGACGCUCAUGGACGAAAGCCAGGGGAGCGAAAGGGAUUAGAUGCCCCUGUAGUCCUGGCCGUAAACGAUGAACACUAGAUGUUGGGGGAAUCGACCCCCUCGGUGUCGUAGCUAACGCGUUAAGUGUUCCGCCUGGGGAGUACGCACGCAAGUGUGAAACUCAAAGGAAUUGACGGGGGCCCGCACAAGCGGUGGAGUAUGUGGUUUAAUUCGAUGCAACGCGAAGAACCUUACCAAGGCUUGACAUCCUGCGAAUCUCUAAGAAAUUAGAGAGUGCCUUCGGGAACGCAGUGACAGGUGGUGCAUGGCUGUCGUCAGCUCGUGUCGUGAGAUGUUGGGUUAAGUCCCGCAACGAGCGCAACCCACGUUUUUAGUUGCCAGCAUUCAGUUGGGCACUCUAGAAAGACUGCCGGUGACAAACCGGAGGAAGGUGUGGACGACGUCAAGUCAUCAUGCCCCUUACGCCUUGGGCUACACACGUACUACAAUGCUGCGGACAAAGAGUAGCGAUCUUGCGAAAGUUAGCUAAUCUCACAAACCGUGGCUCAGUUCAGAUCGUAGGCUGCAACUCGCCUACGUGAAGGAGGAAUCGCUAGUAAUCGCAGGUCAGCAUACUGCGGUGAAUACGUUCCCGGGCCUUGUACACACCGCCCGUCACACCAUGGAAGUUGGCCAUGCCCGAAGUCGUUACUCUAACCUUUUGGAAGAGGGCGCCGAAGGCAGGGCUAAUGACUGGGGUGAAGUCGUAACAAGGUAGCCGUAGCGGAAGCUGCGGCUGGAUCACCUCCUAA